UGGUUUUCUUCAUCUCUUCUCUCUGUUAUAUUCUCUUUGUUUUCUUCGUGAUUUGUUCAAUCUCCUUAAAUCUUUGUGAUGUAAUCUUGGUUGUAUUUGGUGUACAAUCGUAGAGAUUGUGAGGAGAGUGAUUUGUUGUAUAAAGGGGCAAGAGAAAACUUGAGUGACUUUUUCAUACAUUUUAUACUGUUCUUCGUGACUCUCAGUGGAUGCGAGCGUAAUUUAUUUUUGUAGAUGCUCAAUGUAGUGAUUAGGCCUUUGGCUAAACAUUCAAGUCCUAA
rnacentral:lncRNA from 1 species